GUUGGGAAUUUCUCGGCUACUGAGAUGACCAUCCCGGUGAUCUCGGAAGGUAAUUCGAGCUUCUCAUUGUCACCGAACGAUUCUGCGUAGGGCACUUCACCGACCGCUACGAUCGCCAAAGAAAUGUCGUCUCUUUUCAAGGCCUAUAAUUAUACUAUGUUGUUAAGUCAAGAUAGAGAGAAUUCGGCUGGAAUUGAUAUGUCAAAAUGAGCAAACCUGGUGGCUCCAAGACCGAUAUUGUGAGGGAAGAUCGUGGCACCUUUGAUACUAGCGAUUCCAUGAAUGGCAUCGAUCCCAUAUAGUAACGGUAUCCCAAGUCGAGUACCCAUCGCUAACUUCUGAAACCCGUUGACCAUAUCCGCCCAUUCAGAGCAUAAAGCAUCUGGAAAUGGUCCACUGCCUGUAGCACUGAGCAUGCCACCUGCAUAUAGAAGAACAAAAUUUGUAGAGCAGAACCAAACCAACACACGAAAAAUGAUCACGUGCGCAAAAAGGUUAAUGAUCGAUUAAUUCUUACGCAAAAUCUCCCUGCUUCAUAUAAACAAUAAGAACUUCUUUUAAUUGUUGUAGUAUAUGUACUUGUUAAUUUGUAUAAUUGUGUAAUUAAAGCCACAUUCACAACUAUAACUAAUAUUAGGUGUCGUACAGAAACAAACAUUUUUCUUA